rnacentral:rRNA from 1 species
AUGGACAGUCCCUCUGGGGAGAAGGGAUUCCAUAUAGAUGCAAACGAGGCGGCGGCAAACACGGACCUCCCAAGCUUUACAUCUAGUCGGUCAGAUCUUGAGACGGCGUUCCUCAACAAGGGGCUCAACACGAUCGAUAUGGUGGCCCUCUCGGGCGCGCACACGAUCGGCCAGGCGCAGUGUGGGACCUUUAAGGACAGGAUCUACAACGAGACUAACAUCGACACGACCUUCGCCACAUCUCUCCGGGCCAACUGCCCCCGGUCCAACGGCGACAACAGCCUGGCGAACCUGGACACGACGACGCCCAACACGUUCGACAACGCCUACUACACCAACCUCAUGUCACAGAAGGGGCUCCUGCAUUCUGACCAGGUGCUCUUCAACAACGACACCACCGGCAACACCGUCCGGAACUUCGCGUCCAGCCCGGCGGCGUUCAGCAGCGCCUUCACGACGGCCAUGAUCAAGAUGGGAAACAUCGCGCCAAAGACAGGGACGCAGGGGCAGAUCAGGCUCAGCUGCUCCAGGGUGAACUCUGAUUGA